UGCAAUAUGGGCCGAUAGUCCCGAAUUUUUUAUUAUUAUUUUUUUUUUCCCAUAUAAUGGUCUGACCGGCUGGCCCACAAAAGUAGUUCAUCAGCGGCCCUAUUGACACUGGGCUGGCCCAAUCACAUCCCCUGGGCUGACCCAACACCCCUUUCGAUUUGGACCUGCCUACAUAAUGCAUUAGGACGGUAAACAAACUCAGCGUGGCCCAUGGCCUUGACAUUCUUGACACGCGCACGCUAGUCUGCGGCCCAUUGGCUGUCUUCUUUACUGACUAGGGGCUCGUCCAAUCAUAUCACCUUCACCUUCUAAAACACCUUCUACCUUUAGCUUGGUCGGUGCACAGAAACGCACGUUUCGUGAGAAUCCUCCAGUCCAAAAUGGAGAGAAAGAGAAAAGGGGGUGCAGAGAAACUGCGAGACAAGAAGAUGCUUGCUCUUCAAGCCAACGCUGCCAAAUGUGGCAAAAUAUCAGAAAUGUUUGCCACGGCAGGGCCAUCAGCAGCUCCCGUGGAUGACAGUGAUGCUGGUGGCGAUACGAUACAACGACCUACGGCUACUGAAGAUGUCGAAGUCCCUUUUGACUGGUUACACACCCAGUCGGAUGAACUCUACCCAUUACUGUGAUGGACGUGGAGUAUACUUUUUUUGUUAAUAAAUAACACCUUUUGGAAGUGUAUAAUGCGUCCACUCUCACUGAUUGCUUUUAACUCAUUGCAUGGCUUAAGGUAUGUGGAAAAUAGUUGCACAGUUGGAGUCAGGCUUUUAGCUAGGAUUUUUUGUACAGCACUUGAUCGUUUUUAGGUAAUAUUACAAUUACACUGAUUUAUUUAUAUGUUUAGUAAUUUAAUACAUAACAGUGAGUGUAACUGAAACUAGGUAACAAGGUACAAAAUUCAAGUAACAACUUUAACAAAAAUAAAUAACUUUCUACACAACUUUAAAGUGUAUGAUGUAUAUUGUAUUGUAUUGAAUUUAGAUUAAUUAAGACCACCACCUUAACACACAAACUCUUGUUGAACUCAUAAAGUAGUAGGUUCAGUGACGUGCGGUGAGACAGCUGUCUUCUGUAGCUUCUGCGAGCCCGUGAAUCAAUGUUUCGUUGGAAUCAUGAUGUAACGUUGUUGUAGCGGGAAUACAGCAAUGCUAUUUUCUAAUUGGCAGGGCAUAUGUAUGAUUCUAGACUUCGCUAAGCACUGAAGCGACUGAAACUGUGAAUUUUGAUCACAUUCAGCGAAGUUAACAGGUAAAACGGGAGAAAAAUAGGGCGUCUUUAGGCCGUCCUGCCUAAAAGUAGGGCAUCCCAUUUCUUCUUAUUUUUUAGUAGACUAUAGGGCAGACGCCCUGCUAGCUAAAAGCCUGGUUGGUGUAGACAUUCGAGAGACCAAAAAGACUGAAAAGGUGUGUUAUCGAAUUUAGUGGGCUGGUCUGGUUCAAAAUGCCCGGGCCGAUUUUUUGUCCCAGUCCGCCCCUGCUGUCAAC